rnacentral:lncRNA from 1 species
UGCUAACGUCCCGCGCGUGGCGGCCGUUUUCUCCGUUAUCGGCCCGUGGGAGCGACGGGCACCUCUAGGUGCGGCCCGGCCCUCGGGAGGCCGGAGUCUCGGCAGGGAGCUGUGCCUGCCUGUUCAAGACCUCGCCUGUAUCCAGGAGGGGAAUGUAGAGGAGGAAGCGAUGGCUCCUGCCUUGCUGACAACCUGGUCAUAGG